AUGUGUCGAGCAAUCCAUCAGGCACGUGGGACCCUUCGAUAAGCCCUAGGAUGCGACAAACUAUCGUCGGUUGCCGUGUUCAAGGCGUGCACUGGAAGCGUGCCUGAUGGGUGACGAUUUUUCCACUUGUUUAGGUGCCACCAAAUCUUGUUUGAAACAUUACAUCCUUCUCUAACCCCAGCACCUGUUACUAAGUACCUACUUAGGUCACAUGCGGCAAGUGGCGUUUGGAAAUGGAAGUAGCUACGUCUGUGGUUUUGAAGAACAUUUGGCAAAAUUGUUGUGAUUAUCGACACGGAUGUCAAGCUCCCAUCUCAAAUGUGUUGCUCUAACAAACCUUGGGAGAAUAGCCACCAGCCGCUUGUCUUGCUUAGUGAGUGAUUUGGUGGCACCCAGUUUUUUCAUUUUGCCUCAUUGCUCCGCUACUCUGGAGCUGCAUUCGCAUCUACGUCUGGUCGGUGGUUUCUCUUCUCUCUUUCAUUUCCUACAGCGAGCUUCCAGCAAAAUUUAAGCACUUUCAUUAAAACCUAGCACAAAAGAAGUGGGUCUCAUUCCCAACCCAUGGCUGAAGACUCGAUUCCAGGAACUCCCGGCAUCUGAAGCAUUCGGCUCCGACUCUGCACGAAAAAACACAGCAUCUCGUGAGUGGUGGGUGUAGAAUCACCAAACAUUCUAGAAACAAAGUGCUCCGACGUGGAAAUAGCUGCCGAAAUCCUGCUCUUCCUGCUGCUGCUCCUCCUCCUGCUCCCAUUAUCCCAUAACCAACAAUGCCUUGAUAAAAAAAUCAGCAGCAGCAAACAUGCUCAAUCACUCACUCUCAUUUCUACAACAAGUUGGAAGUUGUUGUUUUGUGAAUGUUUCUUUGUCUCCCACAUCGUUCAUUUCCUCCUUUCCUACCUCCUCACCAUCAUCUUCAUUGUGUUGUCGUUUUUGUUGAAGUGGCCAUUGUAAUAUAUUGGCACAACUUGGUUUCUCCAAAUGGGUUGUAGCCACAAUCAAUAUUUUACUUUUUAUGGAAGAAGUGCUCUUUUUGGGGUUUUGAUUUUAAUUUCGAAAAAGUUUUCAUAGAUUUUCAGAAGAUUUAUUGAUUCAUCAUAAAUAAAGAGGAAUGACAAAGUGAUCCAUCCUUUUACUAAAUCGACCCACCCUCUCUUCCAUCAUCCCAACCCCCCUCGUUCCCGGCCCACGCUCGUUCCCAGCCCACGCGGACUAGCAUUUGCAAUGGCAGCGCAAUCGCAGUAUCCGGCAAACGUCGUUCUUCCCGAUGGAAACAACAGGUCCAGAGCUGCUGGGGAAAUGAAGAUCACCGCACCUUCUUGGAGGCGGAGCUCAAUCAGAGCUCAUAUUUCGGGAAGUUCCAGAAUCCGUCUCCUGGAGUGACCAGAUCGAAGCAUUAUCGCCUAUUCAACCAAUGUGUUUCGACAGGUUUGCAGCUUACCUUCGAGGAUGAUCGGCUGCGCUCUACUUCGCCAGUUUCCACAAGCGGGAGAGUCGCUGCACCUUUGCAGCAAGAUAGAGACGAUGAAAUUGAGCAACUUUUAAAGAUUCAGGUAAUCAUCCCACAGUCACAGUCAUGUUGCACUCCACCCAGCAGCGCGACGUACAAUAAUUUUGGGCUGUGGAUUAGGGCUGUAGAUAAGCUGACCCACAUGGAGCGCCAGAUUCACUUUGUGCAUUAGAAUCUUCUCGCUUGUCAUGGUCGUUGUUGUCUUCCUCUUCUACAGCUUCAGAUUCUUCAUUUGGUUGAGUGGUCCUGAGCUGGCGACUUCUCGCGCUCCACGACAUGAGGCUGCUUGAGAUUGUUUCGCGUCGCGGGACUCGGAUUGCCAGGAUUUCGUGGUAGGUUAGUUGUUUUGGUCAGCAAAUUGGGGUUUUCUCUUUUUGGACAGAUAUCUUGUCUUUCAUGUUUUUGGGGUAUAGUGAUUAUGCUUCUGCGGCCGGCGUGGAAAGGGUUUGAAAGGA